CCGAUGCUUAUUCUUCAGGUACACGUCAUUGAUUCCUCCCUGAAAAAAAGAGGUUUACAACCCAUAGGCCGUCAUCCCUCACGCGGUAUUGCUCCGUCAGGCUUUCGCCCAUUGCGGAAAAAUUCCCCCA
rnacentral:rRNA from 1 species